GACGAACGCUGGCGGCGUGCCUAAUACAUGCAAGUCGAACGAACCGCGACUAGGUGCUUGCACUUGGUCAAGGUGAGUGGCGAACGGGUGAGUAACACGUGGGUAACCUACCUCAUAGUGGGGGAUAACAGUCGGAAACGACUGCUAAUACCGCAUAGGACAUAGGAUCACAUGAUCCAGUGAGGAAAGGUGGCGCAAGCUAUCGCUAAGAGAUGGACCCGCGGUGCAUUAGCUAGUUGGUAGGGUAAAGGCCUACCAAGGCGAUGAUGCAUAGCCGACCUGAGAGGGUGAUCGGCCACAUUGGGACUGAGACACGGCCCAGACUCCUACGGGAGGCAGCAGUAGGGAAUCUUCCGCAAUGGACGCAAGUCUGACGGAGCAACGCCGCGUGAGUGAAGAAGGUCUUCGGAUCGUAAAGCUCUGUUGUUAGAGAAGAACAGCGCAUAGAGUAACUGUUAUGCGUGUGACGGUAUCUAACCAGAAAGCCACGGCUAACUACGUG
rnacentral:rRNA from 1 species